rnacentral:lncRNA from 1 species
UAUAUAUAUAUAUAUAUAUAUUUUGUUUCUAUCCUAGUUCCUUCCAUGCUUGCAGGGUAAAAAGAUAUGUUGUCAAAGAUAUAUUCAAGAGGUUCUUAUAUAAUUUCAGAAUCUUACCUCCUGCACUUGUAUAGUUGUGUUAUACAUAGAGAAUCCUACCACUCUUAUAGUUGCUUGGUUGUUGCUUUUGUCUCAUCUUCUUCCAACAUACUCGGCUCUUUAUAUAUUUUUAUUCCUAGAUUUGUUCACACUGACAUGUUUGUUGGAAAAUUAAUCACUACAAGUUUGCAUGCUUAUAUGCUUUCUGUAUGUCUUUGGAUGAAUCAUCACACCGAUGAGAAUAUAGCUGAAACCUUUGCAACAAAAUAUUGAUUAAGAGAUUGCAUUAUGGACAUUUCACUUCAAUGUCUUUAAUUCCGAGAUACAAUGCUGUAUGUCACA